rnacentral:rRNA from 1 species
GGCUCUUUGUUAUAAUAUAAAGAGUCAAGCCUGCCCAGUGAUAUAAAUUUAUUUAACGGCCGCAGUAACCUGACUGUGCGAAGGUAGCAUAAUAAUUUGUCUUAUAAUUGAAGAAUGGAAUGAACGGCUUAACAAAAAUAUAGCUGUCUUUAUAUGUUUUUUAAAAGUUGAUUUUCAAGUUAAAAAGCUUGUAUAUAAUUAAAAGACGAGAAGACCCUAUUGAGCUUUAAUAAUAUACAUAAAUUUGAUAUAUAAUUUAAAUAUACAUUAGUAUUAAAAUUUUAGUUGGGGCGACUUAGGAACAAAUAAAACUUCCUUUUUAUUAAGAAAUUUCUUUGAGCCAAAUAAUUUUGAAGGAAGAAUAAGUUACCAUAGGGAUAACAGCGCUAUUUCUUUUGAGAGUUCUAAUCGAAAAAGAAGUUUACGACCUCGAUGUUGGAUUAAAUAUAAUAAAGGUUGCAGAAGCUUUUACAUAUAGUCUGUUCGACUAUGAAAAUUUU